UACGAAGGGAGCUAGCGUUGUUCGGAAUUACUGGGCGUAAAGGGCGCGUAGGCGGCUCGACAAGUUGGAUGUGAAAGCCCUGGGCUCAACCCGGGAAUUGCAUUCAAGACUGUCUUGCUUGAAUUCGGUAGAGGUUGGUGGAAUUCCCAGUGUAGAGGUGAAAUUCGUAGAGAUUGGGAAGAACACCCGUGGCGAAGGCGGCCAACUGGACCGACAUUGACGCUGAGGCGCGAAACGUGGGGAUCAAACAGG
rnacentral:rRNA from 1 species